rnacentral:rRNA from 1 species
UCAAAUGUUCUUCGUGAACAUGGCGGACUGCUCAGUAACACGUGGAUAACCUGCCCUUAGGAUUGGCAUAACACCGGGAAACUGGUGAUAAUACCGAAUAGACCAUUUAUGCUGGAAUGCUUUUUGGUUCAAAGGCUUCGGCUGCCUAAGGAUGGAUCUGCGGCCUAUCAGGUAGUAGUGGGUGUAAUGUACCUACUAGCCUACGACGGGUACGGGUUGUGAGAGCAAGAGCCCGGAGAUGGAUUCUGAGACAUGAAUCCAGGCCCUACGGGGCGCAGCAGGCGCGAAAACUUUACAAUGCGGGAAACCGCGAUAAGGGGACACUGAGUGCCAGCAUAUUAUGUUGGCUGUCCACAUGUAUAAAAACCAUGUGUUAGCAAGGGCCGGGCAAGACCGGUGCCAGCCGCCGCGGUAACACCGGCGGCCCGAGUGGUGAUCACUUUUAUUGGGUCUAAAGGGUCCGUAGCCGGUUUGAUCAGUCUUCUGGGAAAUCUGACAGCUCAACUGUUAGGCUUUCAGGGGAUACUGUUAGACUUGGGACCGGGAGAGGUAAGAGGUACUACAGGGGUAGGAGUGAAAUCUUGUAAUCCCUGUGGGACCACCAGUGGCGAAGGCGUCUUACCAGAACGGGUCCGACGGUGAGGGACGAAAGCUGGGGGCACGAACCGGAUUAGAUACCCGGGUAGUCCCAGCCGUAAACGAUGUUCGCUAUGUGUCAUGGACGGCGUGACCGUUCCUGGUGCCGAAGGGAAGCUGUGAAGCGAACCACCUGGGAAGUAC